AUUCAAAUGGCAAAGGUCACUCUUCCCUUUCUAUUUUUGCUCCAUGUCCUGAAGUCCAAGGAUAAAGGAGCUGCAGAUCCAGGCACAGCUCCAUCCCUUGCACCAGCCCAGGGUAUUGGAAGGAUUUGGGAGAGAGGUGUGACUGGGACUCCCUGAGACCAACAGAGAUGGGGGAACUGCCUCGAGGGCUGAGCCUGGUGAUGGUGACACUGCAGCUGGUGGCACAACCCAUAAGCUGCCCCGACACAGUGGUGCUGGAGGCAGCCCUGGGCCCUGCUGCCAUACUGAGCUCCUGAUGAUAUUCAGAUUUUCGGCACAGGCUGAUGACAGGGUGUUCCUGGGGAGCCACACAUCAGGAGGAGGAACAUGCCCAGAAACUGCCAGUGGGCUUUCUCUGGUUGGUGGAGGGAAAAUCCUGAUGAGAGCAGAGCUUCCCACUGAGGAACAUAGUAUCCGAUUUUCCUUGCGUGGGGGAUCAACAGAUGCCAAACCCGGGCAGCUCCAAGGGCAUGUGCUCAGCUCGAGGUGGGUGAGCUGGUCCAACAACAGCAUCCGAGCUCAAAGCUCAGGCACAGACUUGGACCUGUGUCAGCUCUUUGUUGCCGUGUGUGAGCAGAAUUCCCAGGAACGGAAACACCCGUCUGCCAGGUUUUCACAGAAGUGAACGGAAAGCAGUGGGGUUUUUUCAGCUCCUGGGGCCCACGUGUCUUGUGAAAUGGGGUGUAAAAACCUCAAAAAAUCCAGGACCCAAGAAUGAAAAUCCAGAAAAAUCUUGACUAAAGAACAAGAUAUAUUUCCCAUUGGAAAACGCACACGACAGACAAAGCCUUGAUUUCAUCACUUGGUUUUGGCCCCCCUUCUGCAGAGCCUGAGCCACCCCUUCCCUUUACAUCCUCGACGUGACUUUCUACAGCAGCAGGAAACAUCCCGACUCCCCCGACGCGUCCCGAGGCCGGUAUUCCUGGACACCCCGUUACGUAGCUGAGUUCCCAGUCUGGAUGCAGCGGGUCAGGUGGGUGGAGAGACGUCACUGCUGCCUCGUCUGGUCCCUGCAGGCGCGGCCGUGACUCUCCCCGAGCUCUCCCUUCAGCCACCGGAGCCAGGACGGCAGCCCGGGAGUCGCGUUGAACCGAGCAGGGAGAGGUCUGGGAAGAGGUUUGAUCCCCGGCUGGGGUUUUCAGGACUGUGCCUCAAGGUCUGGUGCUUCUCCCUUCUCUGCUGUGUGAGGAGUGUGUCCCCUGGCAUUUACCCCAUCUAAAGGUCUGCUACCCUUUCCUGCAGGUCUCUUCCUGGGGGGAAAACCAGCUGGGGCCCCACGGGGAUGGGCAGGGACCUAACAGGGUCCUUGUGACCGUGGCUGCUCCUGGCUGCGGGUGCAGCACAGCUGAACCCAACAGUGUCACCCCCGCCCUGGGCAGCCGUGUGCUGCCAGCCUGGCUCCAGCAGCUCACACUAUCCCUCACUGCAGAAGUGUCCUGUGGGAGGGGGACCUGCCCAGCACCAGAGCAGAAGGGAACCGGGGGAAACAACCUCCUGAGCAAAGUGGGAAAUGGACACAGAGUGUGAAAAAGCUCAGGAGCCCACGCAGCUCGUACCCAGCACUCACCCAGCACAGUGGGGUAAGGAGGGCACAUCCCCAAGGGCCCUCAUAGAUAUUCAUUCUGGGAUGGCUAAAAACCUUCCUGCGCAGCAGAAGUAACCUGGAGGUUUAUCACACAGCGCAGCCAAAAAAGCUGUUUGUGUUGCAUCAGGAGAUCCAGCCCGUGAGGGGCUGUGCCAGCGGGACAGAGGGGUCACGGCCGCUGGCAGACCAGGGCUGAGCAGUGCCAGAGCUGCCUCUGCCCCAUCACAGGGGAGGAGACAGGUGGCCAGGAGUGACAGCAGGGCUGUGGAUGAACUCUGUGGACUUCGCUUGUAUCUGCUGCAGUGGCUCUGGGCAUCUCCUUCCAGAAACUACAGACGAAAUGAAAGGAUGUUCAGAAAACACCUGGAGAAAUGCCCUGUCACCCUUGUGCCCACCAAAGGCUCUUCCAAAGCCACUGUCUGUCACUAGCCAAAGGCUGCUGGUAAAAGGGAAGCCACUGUUGCCUGAAAGGGAAAGCAGAGCCCAGCCCUGGCCCUGGUGGUCUGGCCCUUUCCACAGAGGCUCGUGAGCAGACUGAGUGUGCCAAGGGGCAGCCUCAUCCCCAGGAACCUGGAGCUCCUUGCACCACGAGCUGGGAGCCCAGCCAGCCAGAGCCCCUAAUUCGAAACGCAUGUGGGUUAAACCGAGAGAUGACUGUAAAAAUAAGGGUCGGAUUUCUCUGGUUGCAAAGCCUCCCACGUUACCCCAAGCCUUCCAGUUUCCUGCCUUCUGGCAUGUGUGACCUUCAGCACAGUAACCCCGGUGCUCCCUGAGGAGCCCGGGAUGGCAGGAAGAAUAAAGGGGAGUGAAGACUUGCA
rnacentral:lncRNA from 1 species